rnacentral:rRNA from 1 species
AUUGAACGCUGGCGGCAUGCCUUACACAUGCAAGUCGAACGGUAACAGGUCUUCGGAUGCUGACGAGUGGCGAACGGGUGAGUAAUACAUCGGAACGUGCCCGAGAGUGGGGGAUAACGAGGCGAAAGCUUUGCUAAUACCGCAUACGAUCUCAGGAUGAAAGCAGGGGACCGCAAGGCCUUGCGCUCACGGAGCGGCCGAUGGCAGCUUAGGUAGUUGGUGGGAUAAAAGCUUACCAAGCCGACGAUCUGUAGCUGGUCUGAGAGGACGACCAGCCACACUGGGACUGAGAUACGGCCCAGACUCCUCCCGGCGGCAGCAGUGGGGAAUUUGGGACAAUGGGCGGAAGCCUGAUCCAGCCAUGCCGCGUGCAGGAUGAAGGCCUUCGGGUUGUAAACUGCCUUUGUACGGAACGAAACGGCGCUUUCUAAUACAGAGCGCUAAUGACGGUACCGUAAGAAUAAGCACCGGCUAACUACGUGCCAGCCGCCGCAGUAACAC